rnacentral:rRNA from 1 species
GUAGUGACCUGCGGAGGAUCAUUACAGAGUUCAUGCCCUCACGGGUAGAUCUCCCACCCUUGAAUAUUAUACCUUCGUUGCUUUGGCAGGCCGUGGAAACACCAGAGGCUCCGGCUGAUGCGUGCCUGCCAGAGGAAACAAACUCUGUUUUUAGUGAUGUCUGAGUACUAUAUAAUAGUUAAAACUUUCAACAACGGAUCUCUUGGUUCUGGCAUCGAUGAAGAACGCAGCGAAAUGCGAUAAGUAAUGUGAAUUGCAGAAUUCAGUGAAUCAUCGAAUCUUUGAACGCACAUUGCGCCCCGUGGUAUUCCGCGGGGCAUGCCUGUUCGAGCGUCAUUUCAACCCAUCAAGCUUCGGCUUGGUCUUGGGGCCUGCGGUUUCGCAGCCUCUAAACCCAGUGGCGGUGCUAUUGAGCUCUGAGCGUAGUAAUUUCUCUCGCUAUAGAGUCUCGGUGGUGACUUGCCAACAACCCCCAAUUUUUAUCAGGUUGACCUCGGAUCAGGUAGGGAUACCCGCUGAACUUAAGCAUAU